rnacentral:lncRNA from 1 species
GCCGAUUUAGGUCUGAUUGAGCUAACUCGAGUUCAAUAAUUAGAACUUUUUCUAAUACAUGAUCAAAUUAAACUCUUUAAUUAGAUCAAACUUACAAGACAAGAUUGACAUCUAGCAACAUAUCAUGUCUAUCCGAAAGAAAUAAAAUUUUGAUAGAAAUAUCAAAAAUAUCCUUCUGUGGUAAGUUACCGUGCAAUUCAAUCCUGCGAUCUCACUACAUCCCGAGUAUGAUUAUGGAUAUGAAAUCAUGUCAAAUCUAAUUUCAUAUUCAUACCUCUCUCAAUCUUAUAAUGAUGAUUCG